GGACCCAGUUCAAGUAAUUCAGGAUAGGUUGUGUGCUGUCCAGCCUGUUCUCCAUUACUUGGCUCGGGGAC
rnacentral:pre_miRNA from 10 species